CCACGCGUCCGGCAUUCUUCUUCUUCUUGUUGUUGUUGUUGUAAUGGAUUUGGAGGAGGAGGAGGAGGAGGAGCUGCUGUUGAUGCUCCUAGUACAACAAAUAAGGAGGCGGCGGAGGAGGAGCAACAACAACAAGAAGAAGAAGAUUUGGGCUUGAAGCUGCAGCUGCAACAACAUGUA
rnacentral:pre_miRNA from 1 species